AACGAACGCUGGCGGCAGGCUUAACACAUGCAAGUCGAGCGCCCCGCAAGGGGAGCGGCAGACGGGUGAGUAACGCGUGGGAACGUACCCUUUGCUACGGAAUAGCUCCGGGAAACUGGAAUUAAUACCGUAUGUGCCCUACGGGGGAAAGAUUUAUCGGCAAAGGAUCGGCCCGCGUUGGAUUAGCUAGUUGGUGGGGUAAUGGCCUACCAAGGCGACGAUCCAUAGCUGGCCUGAGAGGAUGAUCAGCCACAUUGGGGCUGAGACACGGCCCAAACUCCUACGGGAGGCAGCAGUGGGGAAUAUUGGACAAUGGGCGCAAGCCUGAUCCAGCCAUGCCGCGUGAGUGAUGAAGGCCUUAGGGUUGUAAAGCUCUUUCACCGGAGAAGAUAAUGACGGUAUCCGGAGAAGAAGCCCCGGCUAACUUCGUGCCAGCCGCCGCGGUAAAAC
rnacentral:rRNA from 1 species